GUGCCAGCAGCCGCGGUAAGACGAGCCACACGAACGUUAUUCGGAAUUACUGGGCUUAAAGGGUGCGUAGGCGGCGCGGAAAGUUGGGUGUGAAAUCCCUCGGCUCAACCGAGGAAUUGCGCUCAAAACUACCGUGCUCGAGGGAGAUAGAGGAGCGCGGAACUUAGGGUGGAGCGGUGAAAUGCGUUGAUAUCCUAGGGAACACCGGUGGCGAAAGCGGCGCUCUGGAUCUCAUCUGACGCUGAUGCACGAAAGCUAGGGUAGCGAACGGGAUUAGAAACCCGUGUAGUCC
rnacentral:rRNA from 1 species